rnacentral:rRNA from 1 species
AGAUUAAGUUAUUAAGGGCGCACGGUGGAUGCCUUGGCACUAGAAGCCGAUGAAGGACGUUACUAACGACGAUAUGCUUUGGGGAGCUGUAAGUAAGCUUUGAUCCAGAGAUUUCCGAAUGGGGAAACCCAGCAUGAGUUAUGUCAUGUUAUCGAUAUGUGAAUACAUAGCAUAUCAGAAGGCACACCCGGAGAACUGAAACAUCUUAGUACCCGGAGGAAGAGAAAGAAAAUUCGAUUCCCUUAGUAGCGGCGAGCGAAAAGGGAAGAGCCCAAACCAACAAGCUUGCUUGUUGGGGUUGUAGGACACUCUAUACGGAGUUACAAAGGACGACAUUAGACGAAUCAUCUGGAAAGAUGAAUCAAAGAAGGUAAUAAUCCUGUAGUCGAAAAUGUUGUCUCUCUUGAGUGGAUCCUGAGUACGACGGAGCACGUGAAAUUCCGUCGGAAUCUGGGAGGACCAUCUCCUAAGGCUAAAUACUCUCUAGUGACCGAUAGUGAACCAGUACCGUGAGGGAAAGGUGAAAAGCACCCCGGAAGGGGAGUGAAAUAGAACCUGAAACCGUGUGCUUACAAGUAGUCAGAGCCCGUUAAUGGGUGAUGGCGUGCCUUUUGUAGAAUGAACCGGCGAGUUACGAUUUGAUGCAAGGUUAAGCAGUAAAUGUGGAGCCGUAGCGAAAGCGAGUCUGAAUAGGGCGUUUAGUAUUUGGUCGUAGACCCGAAACCAGGUGAUCUACCCUUGGUCAGGUUGAAGUUCAGGUAACACUGAAUGGAGGACCGAACCGACUUACGUUGAAAAGUGAGCGGAUGAACUGAGGGUAGCGGAGAAAUUCCAAUCGAACCUGGAGAUAGCUGGUUCUCUCCGAAAUAGCUUUAGGGCUAGCCUCAAGUGAUGAUUAUUGGAGGUAGAGCACUGUUUGGACGAGGGGCCCCUCUCGGGUUACCGAAUUCAGACAAACUCCGAAUGCCAAUUAAUUUAACUUGGGAGUCAGAACAUGGGUGAUAAGGUCCGUGUUCGAAAGGGAAACAGCCCAGACCACCAGCUAAGGUCCCAAAAUAUAUGUUAAGUGGAAAAGGAUGUGGCGUUGCCCAGACAACUAGGAUGUUGGCUUAGAAGCAGCCAUCAUUUAAAGAGUGCGUAAUAGCUCACUAGUCGAGUGACACUGCGCCGAAAAUGUACCGGGGCUAAACAUAUUACCGAAGCUGUGGAUUGUCCUUUGGACAAUGGUAGGAGAGCGUUCUAAGGGCGUUGAAGCAUGAUCGUAAGGACAUGUGGAGCGCUUAGAAGUGAGAAUGCCGG